CAGAUCUAGCUUGCUAGAUGCUGACGAGUGGCGCACGGGUGCGUAACGCGUAUACAAUCUACCUUUAACUGAGGGAUAGCCCAGAGAAAUUUGGAUUAAUACCUCAUAGUAUUAUAAUUAGGCAUCUUUUUAUAAUUAAAACUUCGGUGGUUAAAGAUGAGUAUGCGUACUAUUAGCUAGUUGGUAAGGUAAAAGCUUACCAAGGCAACGAUAGAUAGGGGCCCUGAGAGGGGGAUCCCCCACACUGGCACUGAGACACGGACCAGACUCCUACGGGAGGCAGCAGUGAGGAAUAUUGGACAAUGGAGGCAACUCUGAUCCAGCCAUGCCGCGUGCAGGAAGACUGCCCUAUGGGUUGUAAACUGCUUUUAUACAGGAAGAAACACCUCUACGUGUAGAGGCUUGACGGUACUGUAAGAAUAAGGAUCGGCUAACUCCGUGCCAGCAGCCGCGGUAAUACGGAGGAUCCAAGCGUUAUCCGGAAUCAUUGGGUUUAAAGGGUCCGUAGGUGGAUAAUUAAGUCA
rnacentral:rRNA from 1 species